rnacentral:rRNA from 1 species
UACGUAGGGUGCGAGCGUUAAUCGGAAUUACUGGGCGUAAAGUGUGCGCAGGCGGCCAUGCAAGUCGAGUGUGAAAGCCCCGGGCUUAACUUGGGAAUUGCGCUCGAAACUACGUGGCUGGAGUGUGGCAGAGGAAGGUGGAAUUCCACGUGUAGCGGUGAAAUGCGUAGAGAUGUGGAGGAACACCAGUGGCGAAGGCGACUCUUUGGUCUGUAACUGACGCUGAGGCGCGAAAGCGUGGGGAGCAAACAGG